CGCCAUCUUAACAGCGCGUUCCCGUUGGCGUCUGAGGAACAGCAUCUCUGCCUUCCUGUUCACGGUGACCUUCGCUUGGUGUCCUCCUGGCCUCAGCAACCUGACAAUUCUGUCGUGUCGCGGUGAGCACUUCAUGCACUUGUUCUGGCUGUGGGUGUCGGGUCUUGAAGUUUAAGUUGUGUCGAGGUGGAAAGAAACCUUUUCAGGUUGUUCGAGAGCACAUGGAUCUGAUACCUUCGAAUGCAUGAGUGGAUGAAUGCACAUAACUGUAAAAUUUACCACCGAGGAAAAACACAGGACUGCUCAACUGUGGUUCCAGGCCAUCACCUAGAUCUCACUCUAGCGCCCUGUAGAUUCCCCCAGAGGUUCAAAACGAGGGCAUCCCCAGGAACACAGUGCAGGCUGAUUUACUAGCAGGAGGGAUUGAAU
rnacentral:lncRNA from 1 species